AUCUUGUUUCUAGAUAGCUUGACCGAUUUGCGCACAACAGCAACCAAGGAUCUCUGAGAAGAGCCUGGUGUAGUACAGCUCUUUAGUAGCCUAUGGCCAAGGAGCGUCAGUUCUGAGUCUAGCAAGAGUGGUUAAUAACGCACUGGUCGAUGAUUGGUAUACAAAAUACAGAUACCAGCGUCCCCUGUGCUUGCUCAGAAAAUACACUCCAACAUAUGCGCCCUAUAUAAAUACCCUUUUCGGAUGAAAAAAUAUAAGAAAAAGUAUUAAUAACUGAUUUGUACCUAGAGGAUAUCACAUUUCAAUACUGAGCCUACUGAGCCUAGUUUAUAAAAGACUAAGUUGUGCAAGAAUUUGCAUUUGGAAAAUGAUGAAGGCAAUAUCUCAAGGGAAGCAUUGCCCCUGGACGACCUAAUAAGUUCCCUGCUCCACAGUCUUGCCAAAUGAGUCUGAGCCUCUGAGAGCACAAACGCAUCAAAGGCUUUCAACAACACAUGAGCCCCCUGCCCAGUCUUACUGCUGCUGGCUGGGACAGGGGCUCAAGCAGUGCUGUACACUAACACUGUAUCAGAGCAGCAUGAACUUCAGCCAGACGGACACCAGAGGAAGUCUAAAAUAUCAUCUCGACAGCAACAGGCCUAUUUUGAAGAUGGUGAUCAUGCUCUAUGGGUGCUUGGUGCUGGUUCUGUUGCUUACGGACUUCCUGUGGUUCUGUCGAGCAAGAGGUCUCACUGUGAUAUCAGUUCUAAAGAACUAUUUCACCUGCCCCCACUGGAUCUCUGGUAUCCUCUUUCCCCACCACACCCACAAGAAGACAGAGCGCUGCCAUGGCGAUAGAAGAGCGUCAGUAAGCCUACGUGAGCACAAAAUCCCGAGGGAACUCCCUUGUCUCUAAGGCAACAGAAGACACAAAACAAUGGGGCAGUGUGGCUACCCCAUUAAACAAGGAGAAUGUCCCUGGGGUGCAGACAUUUCCAUGCCAAACUCUAUUUUUUAGCAUUCUAACUGUGAUAAAAGCAACCUAAAAUAUGCAAAAAACUGAUGCACAAUGGCAAAGAAGGGUAUUUCUUCUAUAUAAUUCUUAAUCCGCCCAUUCAUCUGUUUAAUCGAUUAUUAGUUUUGUCCUUAUCUACAAUAAAAAAUUGUGGUAGGCCUACUUGCCACUAA